GCAUCAGAUAAGAGGCUAUAGACCAGGAGAAUGUUUUCAGGAUGUCAGCCUGACCUCCUGCCCAUCGCAGGUCAGAUCUCAAGAGCCGGGAACAAGACUGGAACCCAGUGAUGACAGUAAGAAGCACAGAUCUCCUUUUGCAAGGCCUUGAGUCAUCUGAGGCCUGGUAGAAGGAUCUGGGGAUUUUCAGUCUGAACUAAGAAGAUUCAGGGGACAGUGAUAGCUAUCAUUAAGGAUUUGAAGGACAGUAAUAUGGAAUAAGAAUUCAAUUUCCUCUGUCUGACUCCAAAGGGCAGA